CUGCCCUUCCAUCCCUUGGAUAGAUAGAGAGGGAGGACAGGGCAGAGCUUUUGGUUUUUUCAUGUUGUCAAAGAGUUGAACAAAAGAUUUGAACAAUGAAAAUAGAUGGCGAGUGCCUGAUCGAAUUGAUCAGGUCAUGUAGUAACAAGGUUCAAGUCUACCGGUCUGUUAGGAUGCCUCAGCUGCAUACAUCACUGCACUUCCACUUGACACCUAUCGUAAUGAUAAACGGCUCGUCUCGCCGUGACCUUC
rnacentral:rRNA from 1 species